rnacentral:rRNA from 1 species
AGUCGAGCGGAGAUGAGGUGCUUGCACCUUAUCUUAGCGGCGGACGGGUGAGUAAUGCUUAGGAAUCUGCCUAUUAGUGGGGGACAACAUUCCGAAAGGGAUGCUAAUACCGCAUACGUCCUACGGGAGAAAGCAGGGGAUCUUCGGACCUUGCGCUAAUAGAUGAGCCUAAGUCGGAUUAGCUAGUUGGUGGGGUAAAGGCCUACCAAGGCGACGAUCUGUAGCGGGUCUGAGAGGAUGAUCCGCCACACUGGGACUGAGACACGGCCCAGACUCCUACGGGAGGCAGCAGUGGGGAAUAUUGGACAAUGGGGGGAACCCUGAUCCAGCCAUGCCGCGUGUGUGAAGAAGGCCUUAUGGUUGUAAAGCACUUUAAGCGAGGAGGAGGCUACUGAGACUAAUACUCUUGGAUAGUGGACGUUACUCGCAGAAUAAGCACCGGCUAACUCUGUGCCAGCAGCCGCGGUAAUACAGAGGGUGCGAGCGUUAAUCGGAUUUACUGGGCGUAAAGCGUGCGUAGGCGGCUUUUUAAGUCGGAUGUGAAAUCCCCGAGCUUAACUUGGGAAUUGCAUUCGAUACUGGGAAGCUAGAGUAUGGGAGAGGAUGGUAGAAUUCCAGGUGUAGCGGUGAAAUGCGUAGAGAUCUGGAGGAAUACCGAUGGCGAAGGCAGCCAUCUGGCCUAAUACUGACGCUGAGGUACGAAAGCAUGGGGAGCAAACAGGAUUAGAUACCCUGGUAGUCCAUGCCGUAAACGAUGUCUACUAGCCGUUGGGGCCUUUGAGGCUUUAGUGGCGCAGCUAACGCGAUAAGUAGACCGCCUGGGGAGUACGGUCGCAAGACUAAAACUCAAAUGAAUUGACGGGGGCCCGCACAAGCGGUGGAGCAUGUGGU